UUUCUAAUUCUUCCUGGAGGAGCUUGCUAUCUAACCGAUAAUCCGCGUAAUACCUCACCAACUUUUGAAUUAUACAGCUUGUAUACCAUCGUCGUCAGUUUACUUCACAAGAAAUGUAAACAAAAAGAGUCCAACACACUCUCAACGUCAGAUCGAGGUGCAGCUAAUAAGUUGGGGAUAAGUGAGCUACAAUCAUAAAACAAAACUAAACAUCAUGAAUGGAAGACGGGGUGACACUCCAGUCUGAAACAGGAUUCAGCAGUAAUGGGUAAAAGAAAAUACCCAUGAAUAAUUUUAAAGCUCUAGAAUGCGC
rnacentral:rRNA from 1 species